rnacentral:rRNA from 1 species
UACGUAGGUGGCAAGCGUUGUCCGGAUUUAUUGGGCGUAAAGAGCUCGUAGGCGGCUCGUCGCGUCGGCUGUGAAAACCCGCGGCUUAACUGUGGGCUUGCAGCUGAUACGGGCGGGCUAGAGUUCGGUAGGGGAGACUGGAAUUCCUGGUGUAGCGGUGAAAUGCGCAGAUAUCAGGAGGAACACCGGUGGCGAAGGCGGGUCUCUGGGCCGAUACUGACGCUGAGGAGCGAAAGCGUGGGGAGCGAACAGG